GGAAGGGAUAAACGCUGAAGGCAUCUAAGCGUGAAGCCCCCCUCAAGAUGAGAUAUCCCAUUCUUUAAAGAAGUAAGACCCCUUGAAGACGACGAGGUAGAUAGGGCAGAGGUGGAAGUACAGCAAUGUAUGCAGCUGACUGCUACUAAUCGGUCGAGGGCUUGACCUG
rnacentral:rRNA from 1 species